CAACGUGGGCAACCUGCCCCGAUGAUUGGGACAACCCGAGGAAACUCGGGCUAAUACCAAAUGUGCCCUCUGGCCAUAAGGCCGCUGGGGAAAGGAAGCUUCGGCCUCCGCAUCGGGAUGGGCCCGCGGCCCAUUAGCUUGUUGGUGAGGUAACGGCUCACCAAGGCAACGAUGGGUAGCUGGUCUGAGAGGACGAUCAGCCACACUGGGACUGAGACACGGCCCAG
rnacentral:rRNA from 1 species